UACGUAGGUGGCGAGCGUUGUCCGGAUUUACUGGGCGUAAAGCGCGCGCAGGCGGCAGUCUAAGUCCUCUGUGAAAUCACCCGGCUCAACUGGGUGGCUGCGGAGGAGACUGGGCAGCUUGAGGGGCCUAGAGGCCGGUGGAACUCCCGGUGUAGUGGUGAAAUGCGUAGAGAUCGGGAAGAACACCAGUGGCGAAGGCGGCCGGCUGGGGGCGCCCUGACGCUGAGGCGGCGAGAGCG
rnacentral:rRNA from 1 species